AUCGGCCUGUGUCAAUCGAGGUUGAGUUUAGUGAGGGUUGAAAGUUUUCGAUCUAGAUUGCAGAUCGCUAUUGUCACUUUAUACAAACUGAAAGUAUGCGUUGUUGCGUGUUUGUUUUUGUGGGCAUUUGACUGAACAGCCCAGACAAAUAUUGCUACCAACAUGGCACUUCGAAACAGACCACCGCAGUGAGUAAAAGUUAUUUUCCUUUAUUAAAUGUUGACGUUUUUGGGCUGUCUCCUCAGACACAAGCCAUCAGUAUCCCUGCUUUUUGCACCUUGACAUGCAUGUCGCCGCUGUUUGUUAACCUAGCUUUGCUGAUUUGUAUCUUGUGAUUUUUUUGUGUGUUUUUCUUAACAGGUGUUAGAUGACUGACAAGAUCUAUGGGGGGGCCCCUUUGGGCCCCCCCAUACCAACUUAGUCUUCAAAGGAAUCUAGUGCCAUGGGACUCCAGUGUCUUCAAAACAUCCUCGGAAAGUGUAUGAAUGGUCCACCGAAGGGUUGAUCUGGAAGCCACCACGGUCCACGCAGUAAUCUGCUGCGUGGGCCGUAGUGGCUUCCAGAGCCAUCUUUCGGUCUUGGUCAGGAUUUGUUACAGUUGCCCUUCAAUGUAGAUUAGCUUAGUUUAACGUCAUUCCGUGCUGUCUCUGUCAAAUGUGUGGCUUACUUUAAGUCCACAAGGCCCUCUGGUAAACCACGUUGGAACACCCCUGGACAAGGUGAUUAGUCACUGGGUGUGUGCUAAAGUUUUGUUCCAUUUUUCACUAGUUGGUUAAGGUUUGGUAGAAUUGUUUGGAUGCUAGCGACGUGAUGGCGUAUGUACAAGAGCCUACCGUGGCCAGGCCACAGUUGCGACGGCCAGAUGGCCUAGUGUGAGUGCAACCUUGAUUGCAUUUGUAUACUGUUUACCAUUGGAUGUUUAUGCAAUUUGGCUUAAUUCAUCCGCAGUAAAGCUGCAUUUGACUAUUCCAGGGGUCGUUUUGUACAGGCUUUCAAUUGACCAUGUUGACUAGUUUGUGGGAUUUUCUUUAAGUUUUUUUACCCUUGCUUACAAUCCAACGGUUGUGACCACUUAUGCAACUGGGCUGUGAACCUUGCAAUUCUAGUUGCAUAUUUGUAUACGCAAGCUUGUCCAUUUCUAUCGCCAUCACUAACACUAGCUUCAGCAUUUCCUUGUAGGCCAUUAGCUGACUUGUGUAUUGGAGCGAUGAUUUGGGUAUUUUAAGAUGCUUGAAAACCUUAAAUAAAGCAAAAUGCGUGUCUGGUGUGCAAGAGCCAAUUUGUUGGCUUGCAGUAGUCGAGGAGUUGCCGUAGGUCGUAAGCCAUCUGGAGGUUGUGGCAAUGGAGGCUUGUGGUAGAUCUGCCAUCCAAGAAAGGUUAAUUCUUCUGAAGCAUGAUUAAUAGUUUAGUAAAUUGAAUCUAUUCAUAUAGAACUAUAAAAUCCAAGACUGCAGCCAGUAACUUGGAUCGCAAUAUGUGGAAAGUAUAGUCUUUAUUUGUCACAACAGAACAAUUAACAUGACUAACUGGGUUUCUUCCAUUUUCUAACUAGGGGGACUUGACUGGUGAGUCUACUGGAUUAAUCAGUAGCGGUACUUUGCCCAACUGAUUUGAUGGCAUGACUACAGGGUGACAAAGACAAUUAUUCCCUGCCUAUCAAAAGAGACUUCUAAAACAUAUCUGCUAGAACAGUUGCUAUACUUUUUGUAUAAUUUGGUCAUGCUGCAAAUUUACUUUUUGUAGUUGCUCCAUAUUUAGUUCUUUGACAGCCUCACCUGCUAGAAAAGUCUAUUCAAAUCGGCUAAAUAUAAUGAACUAAAUUAAUAGCCAUGAAAUGUUGUCACUCAUACUAAUGGCAAAUACCCUCUUUCAGUUGGUGGUUCAACACUGAUGUCUCUCUAGGCUUGAGGGAGAGCUCACAAGUAAAUUACACCAAUGUCCUGGAGGAAUUGGGAAUACACUUUUAUUUAGUCUACCUGACCAGGGACAUCUUUGAACUACAGGUCACCUAACCCAAACUUUUCACUCUUGUUAGGUUGUCCUUUUCUCUUGUUUUAAACCCGAAAGGGCUGAAAUAUCAACAUUUCAGGUAUUCUGUUUGGAUAAUGUGCAAAACUUGUGGCUUCACUAAUAAAAAAAAUUAACAAAUGUAUUUUUCUUAAUGUGGUUAAACUAUUUAAAGAUUUGCAUUCAAAAUGUUUCUGCUCAAUUUGUGGUCAAUGAAACUCUG
ensembl:lncRNA